rnacentral:rRNA from 1 species
AUGAAGGGGCGAACCUCUUAUGGUGUAUAUACAGCCCACAUCCUUAACAACACCACCCAUCGGGACGGUUCUAUAUACAAGAGACACUCUGGUUUUCUAGGUUUAUGGCCACUUACCCGACGUGAUGAGACACAACUCGAGCCAAUGAUGUCCUCGCAGCCCAUGAAUUGCUCCCCGAAUCGGGAAAAAUGUGAUAUACAUUAUGCAACUCAUAUGAUGCAGAUUUUCUCAUUAAAAUUGGCUAAAACUAGUACCAAUGUCGGCUUGGUACAGCUUUAUGGAUAUAUAGCAGUGCGGGAUGAUCAUGAUUCAUUGCUUAAUUAUGUUGUCGAUCGUAGCAGAGAUGAUCCCAUCAUUGUUGAUCAGGGUUCUUUUAUUGGGAUGACUGGCCCUAAGCGAUACAUCGCAAUGCUAACCCCUGUUCUAGUUGAGUUUGACACGAGGAUCAAGAAAGGAGAUCAAUAA